rnacentral:misc_RNA from 1 species
CUGCGGUUGGAUCACCUCCUUUCUAGAGUACAAACUGAUAAGUCUCACAACUAUCAGUUCAUAUAUAGACUCAAUCAUCCUUGUUUAGAUUUCAAAGAUUGAUGAAAAGCUAAUUUUGGGGAAUUAGCUCAGCUGGGAGAGCGCCUGCUUUGCACGCAGGAGGUCAGCGGUUCGAUCCCGCUAUUCUCCACCAUUUAUUAAGGGCCUAUAGCUCAGCUGGUUAGAGUGCACCCCUGAUAAGGGUGAGGUCACAAGUUCAAGUCUUGUUAGGCCCACCAUAAAAAAGAUUUGUUUAUCAAUCAUAUAAUAAAGUUUUAAAACUUAAAGCAAGUAUAUAGCUAAUAAUAAAGUAAUAAUUAAAGUAAAAUACUUUAUUACUUAUGUUUUUAAAUUAUUUAAACUCUUUAUAUAUACUUCCUUUAGGUUUUAAGACCUAAGCUAAAUAAAUAAUAGAAUAUUUUAUAUAUUAGAUUAGUUAUUUAAUGUUAUUUGAAUUAUCAUUGUUAAGAGUCACAAGCAAGUUUUAAUAAAAACAAUUUUACAGGACUUGUUAAAGGAUAAAACCUAACUAUCUUUUCUUUAGCUUUUAGUUAAAGACAAGUUUUAAACUCACAACUUAGUUAGACUAAUGUUUUUAGUUUUAUUAAGUGUUUAAAUGCUUUCCGUCUUAGAUAGUAAGUCUUAUCAUAAAAAACUUUAACAAGGGAGUGAUGCGUUUUAGGAUGAAUUUAAAAGGUAACUAUUACACCGAUGAU